GACGAACGCUGGCGGCGUGCUUAACACAUGCAAGUCGAACGGAAAGGCCCUGCUUUUGUGGGGUGCUCGAGUGGCGAACGGGUGAGUAACACGUGAGUAACCUGCCCUUGACUUUGGGAUAACUUCAGGAAACUGGGGCUAAUACCGGAUAGGAGCUCCUGCUGCAUGGUGGGGGUUGGAAAGUUUCGGCGGUUGGGGAUGGACUCGCGGCUUAUCAGCUUGUUGGUGGGGUAGUGGCUUACCAAGGCUUUGACGGGUAGCCGGCCUGAGAGGGUGACCGGCGAGCGUAGGGCUGACAGAGCAGAGAGCGUCGGAGAGGAGCGGAGAGUGGGGCAGACGGCAGAGUGGACGGAAGCGUGAUGACGCAGCGCGGGGGGCGGAAGGACGGCCUGCGGGUCACACACUCCUUACCCCGGUGGAGAAGGGGGAGAGGAGGAGAGGGAAAAAGAAGCACCGGCUAACUACGAGCCAUAGGCGGCGGUAAUCAGCGGACCCGAACCCGUCUAAAC
rnacentral:rRNA from 1 species